GACGAACGCUGGCGGCGUGCCUAAUACAUGCAAGUAGAACGCACAGUUUAUACCGUAGCUUGCUACACCAUAGACUGUGAGUUGCGAACGGGUGGGUAACGCGUAGGUAACCUGCCUGGUAGCGGGGGAUAACUAUUGGAUACGAUAGCUAAUACCGCAUAAUAUUAAUUAUUGCAUGAUAAUUGAUUGAAAGAUGCAACUGCAUCACUACCAGAUGGAUCUGCGUUGUAUUAGCUAGUAGGUGAGGUAACGGCAUACCUAGGCGACGAUACAUAGCCGACCGGGGAGGGUGAUCGGCCACGCUGGGACUGGGACACGGCCCAGACUCCUACGGGAGGCAGCAGUAGCGAAUCUUCGGCAAUGGACGAAAGUCUGACCGAGUAACGCCGCGUGAGUGACGGAGGUUUUCGGAUCGUAAAGCCCUGUUGUAAGAGAAGAACGGGUGUGAGAGUGGAAAGUUCACACUGUGACGGUAUCUAAACAGAAAGGGACGGCUAACUACGUG
rnacentral:rRNA from 1 species